rnacentral:rRNA from 1 species
UACGUAGGUCCCGAGCGUUGUCCGGAUUUAUUGGGCGUAAAGCGAGCGCAGGUGGUUUAUUAAGUCUGGUGUAAAAGCAGUGGCUCAACCAUUGUAUGCAUUGGAAACUGGUAGACUUGAGUGCAGGAGAGGAGAGUGGAAUUCCAUGUGUGGCGGUGAAAUGCGUAGAUAUAUGGAGGAACACCGGUGGCGAAAGCGGCUCUCUGGCCUGUAACUGACACUGAGGCUCGAAAGCGUGGGGAGCAAACAGG